GGAAUAUUGCACAAUGGGCGCAAGCCUGAUGCAGCGACGCCGCGUGAGGGAUGACGGCCUUCGGGUUGUAAACCUCUUUCAGUAGGGAAGAAGCGAAAGUGACGGUACCUGCAGAAGAAGCGCCGGCUAACUACGUGCCAGCAGCCGCGGUAAUACGUAGGGCGCAAGCGUUAUCCGGAAUUAUUGGGCGUAAAGAGCUCGUAGGCGGUUUGUCGCGUCUGCCGUGAAAGUCCGGGGCUCAACUCCGGAUCUGCGGUGGGUACGGGCAGACUAGAGUGAUGUAGGGGAGACUGGAAUUCCUGGUGUAGCGGUGAAAUGCGCAGAUAUCAGGAGGAACACCGGUGGCGAAGGCGGGUCUCUGGGCCGAUACUGACGCUGAGGAGCGAAAGCGUGGGGAGCGAAC
rnacentral:rRNA from 1 species